UACGUAGGGGGCGAGCGUUAUCCGGAGUUACUGGGCGUAAAGCGCACGCAGGCGGUCGUGUACGUUUGGGGUGACAGCUCCCGGCUCAACUGGGAGAGGACCUUGAAGACGGCAUGACUUGAGGGCCACAGAGGGACACAGAAUUCCGGGUGUAGUGGUGAAAUGCGUAGAUAUCCGGAGGAAUACCAAAGGCGAAGGCAGUGUCCUGGGUGGUACCUGACGCUCAGGUGCGAAAGCUAGGGGAGCGAACGGG
rnacentral:rRNA from 1 species